AUAUAAACUGUGGUAUAUAAUUUCUUUAUUAAAAUAUAACUCUUAUUUAAAGACUACAAAUCUAAUUCGACUGGCUUGGGCGCGUCCGUUGAAUAGAAUAGACGUUAGAAUACAAAUUUUUAUGAGAGCGAGCCAAACAACCUUUUGUCUCGCUUCUAUGUCUCAGGUUUCAGAGUUUCGCGCUCAGCGUGCGACAUCUAGCUACGAAACUCUGAAACCUAAACAUAAGGGGAAUUACACAUUAUUAAUGAUAGUUGCCUUAAUUUUAUACUACAACUCGGCCAAUCUGACAAUUUGAUCGCCCACGAUUAAAUUAAACAAACAAGUCUUAAGUUAUAAUCAUGAGAUGGUAGGUGUCGCCCUUAAUCAACCGAACCUUCAGAGUCUCGAUUCUUCCAAAGUCGAAUAUUUCGAGACUCGACAAUGCCAUCAUAUGGCAGCUGUGUGAUUUGACAACCUUCGAUAUCGCGUAUUACGUAUCUAUCAUUAGGUAGAAUUUUGUAAACAACGUAUGGGCCUCUGAACUUUGGAACCAAUUUCUUAUUUACACCGGUUGUUGUAUCUACAUUUUUUAUUACUACAUAAUCACCCUCAUCGUAUAUACGUGCCGGGUUAUUAUGCUCAUUAAAAUAUUUAAUAUUAUAUUCCUGAAUCUUAGUGAUUGCUUCUGAAGCCUUUUCUCUUGACAAUUCAAGAUUUCUUUCCAGUUGACUUAAUUGUUUAUCAUCAAGAAAUUCUGUUAAUUUGUCGAUUACUACUCCCCUUUGGUUAAUACCAAAUAACAAUUGACUUGGUGUAUUUUGAAUAGCGCGAUGUAUAGUGUUAUUUAGUCCGAAUUCUAUUUGUGUUAAAGUAACAACCCAAUCUGAGUGCUCGAUUGGUUCCGAAAGCUUAGCAAGCAUGCCAGUUAAUACCCUAUUGACUCGCUCUACUUGACCAUUGGCCUGUGGCGAAUGAACUGCCACCUUAACAUGAUCUAUAUUCUGGUCUAUAACAAAUGAACUAAACUCUAGUGAUGUAAAGCAGGUUCCCCUAUCAGUAAUUACUCUUGAUGGCCUACUGUAAUACUCAAAAUAUUUUCUUAGUGCUGCACAUACUUCUUUUGAGCUUGUAGAUACAACUGGGGAGAGGACCAAGAUGAUCCAAGUGUAUUGUAUGGAAUGGAAUGGGCUCCUUAGGAAUAUUGAACAAAUUGCGUAUAUUAGAUCGAACUGGUGCUGAGUGCAUUAUGCAACGGAUACAAUUUUUAAUGUAUUUUUCAACUUUUUCCUGAACAUUCGGAAACCAAUAGUGACGGCCAAUUUGAUCAGAGCUUUUUGUUACACCUAAAUGCCCAAUUUUCUCAUGGAUCAUUCUUAUAACAUUAGUUUCCAUUUCAGAUGGGACAUAGAAUCGAAGUUUACCAUUUUUAUUUUUUUUGAAGACAAUACCAUCCUGAACUAAAAACGAAUUAUUAUCUUUUAAA